rnacentral:rRNA from 1 species
GACGAACGCUGGCGGCGUGCCUAAUACAUGCAAGUAGAACGCACAGUUUAUACCGUAGCUUGCUACACCAUAGACUGUGAGUUGCGAACGGGUGAGUAACGCGUAGGUAACCUGCCUGGUAGCGGGGGAUAACUAUUGGAAACGAUAGCUAAUACCGCAUAAUAUUAAUUAUUGCAUGAUAAUUAAUUGAAAGGUGCAAUUGCACCACUACCAGAUGGACCUGCGUUGUAUUAGCUAGUAGGUGAGGUAACGGCUCACCUAGGCGACGAUACAUAGCCGACCUGGGAGGGUGAUCGGCCACACUGGGACUGAGACACGGCCCAGACUCCUACGGGAGGCAGCAGUAGGGAAUCUUCGGCAAUGGACGAAAGUCUGACCGAGCAACGCCGCGUGAGUGAAGAAGGUUUUCGGAUCGUAAAGCUCUAUUGUAAGAGAAGAACGGGUGUGAGAGUGGAAAGUUCACACUGUGACGGUAUCUUACCAGAAAGGGACGGCUAACUACGUG